rnacentral:rRNA from 1 species
GUGGGGAAUCUUGCGCAAUGGGCGAAAGCCUGACGCAGCGACGCCGCGUGGGUGAUGAAGGCCUUCGGGUUGUAAAGCCCUGUGGGGAGGGACGAAUAACGACGACUUAAUACGUCGUCAGAUGACGGUACCUCCUUAGCAAGCACCGGCUAACUCUGUGCCAGCAGCCGCGGUAAGACAGAGGGUGCAAACGUUGUUCGGAAUUACUGGGCGUAAAGCGCGUGUAGGCGGUCUGGUAAGUCGGGUGUGAAAGCCCGGGGCUCAACCCCGGAAGUGCAUUCGAUACUACCAAACUAGAGUACUGGAGAGGAUGGUGGAACUCUCGGUGUAGAGGUGAAAUUCGUAGAUAUCGAGAAGAACACCGGUGGCGAAGGCGGCCAUCUGGACAGAUACUGACGCUGAGACGCGAAAGCGUGGGGAGCAAACAGGAUUAGAAACCCCUGUAGUCC